CCUACGGGAGGCAGCAGUGGGGAAUCUUGCGCAAUGGGCGAAAGCCUGACGCAGCCAUGCCGCGUGAAUGAUGAAGGUCUUAGGAUUGUAAAAUUCUUUCACCGGGGACGAUAAUGACGGUACCCGGAGAAGAAGCCCCGGCUAACUUCGUGCCAGCAGCCGCGGUAAUACGAAGGGGGCUAGCGUUGCUCGGAAUUACUGGGCGUAAAGGGAGCGUAGGCGGAUAGUUUAGUCAGAGGUGAAAGCCCGGGGCUCAACCUUGGAAUUGCCUUUGAUACUGGCUAUCUUGAGUGUGGGAGAGGUUAGCGGAACUCCGAGUGUAGAGGUGAAAUUCGUAGAUAUUCGGAAGAACACCAGUGGCGAAGGCGGCUAACUGGCCCAUUACUGACGCUGAGGCUCGAAAGCGUGGGGAGCAAACAGGAUUAGAUACCCUGGUAGUCCACGCCGUAAACGAUGAGUGCUAGUUGUCGGCAUGCAUGCAUGUCGGUGACGCAGCUAACGCAUUAAGCACUCCGCCUGGGGAGUACGGUCGCAAGAUUAAAACUCAAAUGAAUUGACGG
rnacentral:rRNA from 1 species